UCCACAUGACCACAUGUCUCCUACAUUUCUUAACAGAUAUGGAGUUAGGACAGGUAAAUAGCAUAAGAAUCUGUGAUGCCCUUUACUCUUACGACAAUUUUUACAGACACCUCCAAUGACUCUUGACAUCAAAAUUGGCACUUUUAUCAUACUUCAAUUGGCAGAGCUGAAAUAUGUAAGACUGGAACAAGUGCUUGAGUUCAUAGUUAGAAGCCUUGUCUAUAGAUAAUUGCUAACAAUUAUACGGUCUACUACAGCUGUUUGGGCCACACUCGAUUUCUUUGGCACAAUACGUUAUGACUUUUGCUGUUACGGUAUGCUGGUCCUGUCCUAGAGGGCCGGCCCUUAGGAGGUAGAUGAAGAAUGAUAGUGAGUUUGAAAGCUCCCUCUACCACAUAGGAAGACCCUGACUGGAAGGGGAAUAUGAAUAACAGUUAAUCAUACUGUGAUUUUUAAAAAGAGAUGGAUCACCUCACAUGCAAGAAGUGUCCGAUAAAUAGCAGGGAAACAUUUCAUGUUGGAAUUGGAAAACCUGAAAGCCGAAGGUGUCCUGACUCAGCCAUAGAGUUUGUACACAGCAAGCUUCAGGCGUGAUGCUCGUGAGACAUGGAGACGACAAUGCUAAAGGACCCCUCCAGUGUACCCAGUGCUCCUCAGGGUUCUCCACACAUUAGAUGACUUCCUCCACACUACAAAAGACAGCCCAGAGGACCAUUCUACAUUUGAAAAACAAAUCCAAAAGAGAAUGGGAUAUCUGUGUCUACACCCAAGGAAGAGACAGAAUUCAGAAAGAUGAGAAUAAAGCAGCUUUUACCCUAAGACUCUCAGGACCACUCUUUGAGAGACAGAUAAGAGAGAGAAGGAAGCUAACUGAGUGAGUGUAGAGAGAAAGCUCUUGUGUUAUGUACAUCUACAAUUAGCGAAAGCAUCUUAUACAAUUUAUACACAUGUAAUGUUCUGUGACUAAAACCAGUUUGAAAAUCAUUGAGCCAGUAAAACAAGGGCCUUUGAUAAACUGUAAAGUGAUUUACCACUGCCAUUUUUAAACACCAUUGUGGCUGUUUCUUGGUUCCUGUGAAAAUUUAGAUGCCUACUUUAUUGGAAAAUUGCUUAAUUAGAUAAUAUUUCUCAAGAACAGGCAUUGUUUCAAGUCAAAGAUUCAUUUCGGCUUCUACCAUUCUGUGCAAGAAGCACAUUUGAAACAUGGUUCCUAAAGGGAUUCAUUCAGUGGAGGGAGCAGAAACAGUUGACUAAACUCUUACACAAUUGUAAUUCACACAGGGUCAACCCAGUCAGUCCUCCUGAGCAGAGGAGAAACAUGCACACCAUCCUGGUUGUUUUGCUGACAUCAAAAGAAUGUUUCCCACUUUACUGUGUUGGAAGUGAGGGCCCUAAGGGUCUCCAUUCAAUUACCAGCACUUGGAUAUUUAUUCCAGGGUCACAGUCAAAUACCGAAGGAUACUGAAAAUAAUCAUUGACAACAGGAAUCUGACCCAGUACAAUGUAUAUUAUUGGUCCUAAAAUGGUAAACAAUUACACAAUGCUGUAUGUGGUGAAAUCAAUAUAAUAUAAAGCUGUGUCACGCCUCAAAUGAACCAGGCCCAGGUUCAAGUGCUUCACAUGUAGCUGUCAAUCAUUCCUAACCAUGAAACAACACACUGAAGACCAUGAUCCUUCUAUCACAACUGUGGCUCACAGAGAGCAUGUAACCUGCAAAAGCAACAUAGAACACUGAUGAUUCCAGGCCUGGGAUCUAGCAUCGGACACGA
ensembl:lncRNA